ACACUCCACGCAGCCCUGCCUUCGGCAAAGAUUUACCGGGGACCCGCUAUGUCCCAGGAGACGAUCGUUUUUUAAGAGAAGGGAGGAGGAGAAGGAGGGAGGGAGAGGAGACAGAGAAGACACUGUCUAGGGAGGAACAGCGACAAGAAGCAGGCCACUGCAGUCCGUCGGGGGCCUCGCCUGUGGCACACAGAAGUUCCCAGGCUAGGCGUGGAAUUGGAGCUGCGGCUGCUGGCUGCACCACAGCCACAGCAAUGCCAGAUCCAUGCAACAUGCAUCUGUGACCUACAUCUGUAACCACCACAGCUCACAGCCAUGCCAGAUCCUUAACCCAUGGAGCAAGGCCAGGGAUCGAACCUGCAUCCUCAUGGAUACUACUUGGAUUUUCAGCCUGCCGAGCCACAACAGGAACUCCCCAAAACAUUUUUGAGGAAGAACUUAAACAUUUCAAGAAGUAACGGUACAUCACGGAUGUUCCUGAUGGAGCAUCAGAAGAGCAUAAGCGGCCACUAGGGGGCGCAAUGGAUGAACAGACCCCCAGAGAGCAGGCGGGUCAGGAGUGAUGGCACAGGAUCCUAGGCCAGGACCACAGACAAAAGGGCCCUCCGUUAGGCUAGAACCAUCCUUAUCACAGUGAGUCCUCUGCUGAAGCAAGACAGGGCUUGUCCUGAUGCUCCGCAGCCUGGCAGACACUCAGAGCCUUCUUCUGAGUCAACCCUUCCACCUGAAUGGGAGACCUGCCCCCCUUGGAGCAGGAGCCAAGAGUGGCUGCUGAGAAAGCAACAAGAAAACAGGAAAAUGAGUCUCCUGGAAGAAAACAGUUCUACCACAUGGUUUUGCUGAACACCAGACCUGUGCACUGUGAGCUGUCAGCAACCACGCCCCACAAUGUUUUAACUCCUGCAAAGGAAGGUGCUCUAAUUCCUCCACCCUGAGGAUACGGAGCCCGGGCUCAAGAAGGCUGAGCAAUUUGCCUGGGGUCAUAACUAAAGCAAAGCAAACAAGACCAAAGGCCAGGAUCCCAAGACGGCAAACUCCCCAACCAUUCUGCUCUCCUAGGGAUAAGCUGUGGAAACGGGAAGGCAAUGUUGUCCGUCUUUUGAAGUUGAGGCUGUUUGGCUCAGCCUUUAAGACUUGACUCUUUCUAACACGAUGGUUGUUGGGUCAGGGCCUACUGGUGUCUCCUUGAGAGCAUCGUUAUUUUUCCAAUUAAUUUGGUUAAGAUUUAGGAAAUUUUGUUUGUUUAAAAAAAAAAAAAAGUUUGGGAGAGAAAAUCCACAAGGUUUUAGGUUCUUGUGAAGGAGUCCACGGAUCAAACAUCUUUGAAAACCAAUGUCUACAACGAAUUUAGGGAAGAAAUUCUUAACUUUACCUCUGCAGAAUACAGACAAUAUGCCAUCCACGUAGCCUAUUUCACAAGGAAGUGCUUCUAACGGCCUCCUCGCCCCAGAGAGUCCACGUAGGCCACUGUCACAGAAAAGAGCAGCAAUGGGCAUCCCGUGGAAACAACCUCCCACCCUCCAUCUCACACCACCUGUUCUAACUACACACACCUGCUGGAUGCAUUUCAAUUCAACAUACCUCAGUGUUUUUAUUGGGGAAAGAAAAAAAAUUGCUGUGCUCCUGUUGCCGGUUUCCAAAGAAAGCCCAGAUGCCUGACUUCGUAAGGGGGGAAUUAGUCAAUGUUAAGUGGGACAUGCUUCCCACGGUGGGUGGAUUUAAGGCUGAACCACGGACCUGCUUGUAUUGGAAUUACCAACGCAAGGACUGGUGGAAGUAUUAACUCCUUUAUAAUAUAUGUCAGUGUUUGGUUGAAACUCUGAUUCGUUCCUGACUAAAACUCUAACUUUCUCUCUCAUCAGCUUCUGAGGAUGCAGAUUACAUUCUCAGAAGGACAGCAAUUACGAUUUUUAAAUCUCAGCUCAUACUGCGAGUACAGCAUUUGGAAUCCUAUGAGGUUAUAUGUUCGUUCCGUUAAAAGAAUAUUCCACCAAUUGAAGUUAAAUGAGAAUGAGACCAAAAAAGAAAAAAGACAACGAGACAGGUGUCACACUUCCUCAAAUAAGCUCAACAAUUAGGAUACUAAAGUUUUCAUUAUUUCCAGUUACUCAUACAUCCUUUGCCACAUAGUACCUAAUUUCCUAAAUUUUUUCCCCUUUUUUUAACUUCCCCCCGGUAUGGGAGUUCAUGAGGUAAGCAGCAGGUCUGCAGCUUUUACUAAUUCAGGAACUGACUGAAAAAGAAAGGCGGACUUACGCACAGAAUGAUCCUUGUAUGUUUUUGAAAGUAUAUAUCCUGUAUUCUAAAUUGCUAAAGCUUCGGUAUGAAAUUUUUUAUGUCCAAACAUGUAUAUAUUUGUCUUUUUAGGCCCGCACCUGCAGCACAUGGAGGUUCCCAGGCCAGCGAUCCACGUGGAGCUACAGCAGCCGGCCUGCGCCAGAGCCACAGCAACGCCAGGUCGGGCCAUGUCUGCAACCUAUGCCACAGCUCCCAGCAACACCGGAUCCUUAACCCACGGAGCGAGGCCAGGGAUCAAACCUGCGUCCUCAUGGAUACUCGUCAGAUGCGUUUCCCCUGAGCCACGACAGGAACUGCCGUGUCUGAAUGUUUUUAGACAGUAAUACUUAAUGUGUUUCGUAAUAACAGCAUACAGUGGGAGGAGAAGAGAGAAAUGGCAGGGGACACGUUUGCUUUUCAGAGUGUCCCUUUGGUGUUACUAGAAACUUGUCUUUUUUGUGUGCCUUCUUCUGUCACUGAGACUUUCUGCCACACAAAAAGUUCAAGAGCUACCCCGCAAGCUUGCGCCACUAACAUGCACCUCAGGCAGCCUCUCCAGCAGAGGGCACGGUAGCCUCCCGCUGCAAAAUGGAUGUGUGGCUGACGGAGCCCCUCCAGCUGCGGUGCUGCUGUGCAGCGUUCACAGCCUACUGCACUGUUUCCUCCUCCGCCACAGAAUGGAAAAUAUGUGUCAUCUUAAUAUUGAGCAAUUCCGCGGACCUAAAAGCCAGUUACAAAAUACAAAAAUCAAAAAAAAAAAA
rnacentral:lncRNA from 1 species